rnacentral:snRNA from 1 species
AUGCUAGCUUCAGCAGCACAUAUGCUAAAAUUGGAAUGAUACAGAGAAGAUUGGCAUGACCCCUGAGCAAGGAUGACACGCAAAUUUGUGAAGCAUUCCAUAUUUUU